AUUGAACGCUGGCGGCGUGCUUAACACAUGCAAGUCGAUCGGUAACAGGUGUAGCAAUACAUGCUGACGAGAGGCGGACGGGUGAGGAACGCUUGGGAAUCUGCCUAUCAGCGGGGGACAACCCGGGGAAACUCGGGCUAAUACCGCAUACGCUCCACGGAGGAAAGCCGGGGACCGCAAGGCCUGGCACUGAUAGAUGAGCCCAAGCCGGAUUAGCUAGUUGGCGGGGUAACGGCCCACCAAGGCGACGAUCCGUAGCUGGUCUGAGAGGACGAUCAGCCAGCCUGGGACUGAGACACGGCCCAGACUCCUACGGGAGGCAGCAGUGGGGAAUAUUGGACAAUGGGCGAAAGCCUGAUCCAGCGACGCCGCGUGGGUGUAGAAGGCCUGCGGGUUAUAAAGCCCUUUCGGUAGGGACGAAAGCUCUUGCCCUAACACGGCAGGAGGUUGACUUAACCUACAAAAGAAGCACCGGCUAACUCUGUGCCAGCCGCCGCAGUAA
rnacentral:rRNA from 1 species